rnacentral:rRNA from 1 species
CAAGGUUUCCGUAGGUGAACCUGCGGAGGAUCAUUAUUGAAUUAAGUCGGAUUCGAUGCUGGCCCUCCUGGGCAUGUGCUCGUCCUUCAUUCUUCUAACCUUCUUUAUGUGAACAUUUGUACGCCCCUUAGCAACGAGUGCCUUUUCGCAGCAAUGCGAGUUUGCUUGGGAUCGAGGGCCUAAUCGGUCGUCCUUCCUGCAAUGCUCUCUGGGGGGCUACGUUUUUAUAUAACCAGUCAGUCAUAGAAUGUCUUUUAAUGACUCUGCUUAAUAGCGGUCUUAAACAAAAUACAACUUUCAGCAACGGAUCUCUUGGCUCUCCCAUCGAUGAAGAACGCAGCGAAAUGCGAUAAGUAAUGUGAAUUGCAGAAUUCAGUGAAUCAUCGAAUCUUUGAACGCACCUUGCGCCCUUUGGUAUUCCGAAGGGCAUGCCUGUUUGAGUGUCAUUAAAUUAUCAACCUUGCUCGCUUUUACCGGCUUGAGUGAGGCUUGGACUUGGGGGUUUUUGCUGGCUUCCUUCAGUGGAUGGUCUGCUCCCCUUAAAAGCAUUAGCGGGAUCUCUUGUGGACCGUCACUUGGUGUGAUAAUUAUCUAUGCUGUUUGACCUUGAAGCAAACUUAUGGGAACCUGCUUAUAACCGUCCCUUUGCUGGGACAAUUUUAAUAACAUCUUGACCUCAAAUCAGGUAGGACUACCCGCUGAACUUAAGCAUAUCAAUAAGCGGAGGAAAAGAAACUAACAAGGAUUCCCCUAGUAACUGCGAGUGAAGCGGGAAAAGCUCAAAUUUAAAAUCUGGCGGUCCCUGUGGCCGUCCGAGUUGUAAU